UACGGAGGAUCCAAGCGUUAUCCGGAAUCAUUGGGUUUAAAGGGUCCGUAGGCGGCUCAGUAAGUCAGUGGUGAAAUCUCCCGGCUCAACCGGGAAAUGGCCAUUGAUACUGUUGGGCUUGAAUUAUUAGGAAGUAACUAGAAUAUGUAGUGUAGCGGUGAAAUGCUUAGAGAUUACAUGGAAUACCAAUUGCGAAGGCAGGUUACUACUAAUGGAUUGACGCUGAGGCUCGAAGGUGCGGGGAUCAAACAGG
rnacentral:rRNA from 1 species